rnacentral:rRNA from 1 species
GAUGAACGCUGGCGGCGUGCCUAAUACAUGCAAGUAGAACGCUGAAGGAAGGAGCUUGCUCUUUCCGGAUGAGUUGCGAACGGGUGAGUAACGCGUAGGUAACCUGCCUGGUAGCGGGGGAUAACUAUUGGAAACGAUAGCUAAUACCGCAUAACAGUAGAUGUUGCAUGAUAUCUACUUAAAAGGUGCAAUUGCACCACUACCAGAUGGACCUGCGUUGUAUUAGCUAGUUGGUGAGGUAACGGCUCACCAAGGCGACGAUACAUAGCCGACCUGAGAGGGUGAUCGGCCACACUGGGACUGAGACACGGCCCAGACUCCUACGGGAGGCAGCAGUAGGGAAUCUUCGGCAAUGGACGGAAGUCUGACCGAGCAACGCUGCGUGAGUGAAGAAGGUUUUCGGAUCGUAAAGCUCUGUUGUAAGAGAAGAACGAGUGUGAGAGUGGAAAGUUCACACUGUGACGGUAUCUUACCAGAAAGGGACGGCUAACUACGUG